AAUGAACGUUGGCGGCGUGGAUUAGGCAUGCAAGUCGAGCGAGAAGUCUGUGAGUGAUCCUUCGGGUGAACGAUCAGAUGGAAAGCGGCAAACGGCGUAGUUAUGGAUAGGUCACGUACCCUCAGGACGGGAAUAGCCACGGGAAACUGUGGGUAAUGCCCGAUAAUGUCUACGGACCAAAUGGUGUGAUUCCGCCUGGGGAGCGGCUUAUUUGAUAUUAGCUUGUUGGUGGGGUAAUGGCCUACCAAGGCUUCGAUGUCUAGGGGGUGUGAGAGCAUGGCCCCCACGACCGGGACUGAGACACUGCCCGGACAUCUACGGAUGGCUGCAGUCGAGAAUCUUCCGCAAUGGACGCAAGUCCGACGGAGCGACGCCGCGUGCGGGACGAAGGCCCUUGGGUUGUAAACCGCUGUCAGAGGGGAUGAAAUCGUCGGGGGCAAUCCCCCUUCGUUGACAAAGCCUCAAAGGAAGCACAGGCUAAGUACGUGCCAGCCGCCGCCGUAACAC
rnacentral:rRNA from 1 species